GCUGUCUGUUGGUGCCUCCUUGGGGUGCUGCCAACAGUGCGUUGGUGGUAUGUGCAUGUGUGCGUGCGUGUGUGUGUGUGUGUGUGUGUGUAGGAAGAGGCGUUCGCUCUCUUAGACUUUGCUUCUUUCUGUGGUUUGGUUUCUAUAGAGACACUUCCUGUGGCAGAGAAAAGAGGUAGUGAGCUGGUGUUUCAGGAUGUGAGGGCCCGCAGGAGAAGACGGGCUCACUCUGCUGCCUGCCCACCAUCGUGCACUCUCUGGCCGGCUCUACCCACAGUCCCCAUGGUGGGCUGCCCCCACGGCGGGGACCCGUGAUCAGCAGCGGCAUGCCAGGGAAACCCAAGCACCUGGGUGUCCCCAACGGGCGCAUGGUUCUGGCUGUUUCAGAUGGAGAGCUGAGCAGCACGGCAGGGUCCCAGGGCCAGGGCGAGGCCGAGGCAGCUCCUCAGCAUCCACAGUCUCCCCAGUGGCCCCAGCGCGCCCCUUCCCCUCUGAGGAGCAGCCUGUAGCCAGCUGGGCCUGUCCUUUGAGUGGCUGCUGCAAGACCCC
rnacentral:lncRNA from 1 species